AUGAGGAUCACCAGACAAUGCAACCUGCCACUUUCUUUGGGUAAGCAUUAUCGCUCAAAUGUGUUGUGUGAUGUGGUUGACAUGGAUGCCAGCCAUGUUCUUCUUGGGAGGCCUUGGCAAUUUGAUGUGGAUACUACACACAAGGGCAAGGAAAAUUCUUACUCUUUCAUUUGGAACAAGAGAAAGAUCAUUAUCUUACCAAACAAAACCGAAGGUAAUACCUCUAAGGAGGAGGGGAAAACUAUGUUAACUAUCUCCCAUACCUCUCAUGAGUUUAUGGAAGACUUGAAGGAGGCAGAUUUGUGUGCUGCACUUGUUGUAAAGGGAGAAGAGCACCUGACUGUUGAAAUUCCAGCAAAGGUACAUGGUUUAUUGGCAGAAUUUCAGAACAUACUUGGGGAUCCACAUGGCUUGCCACCGAUGAGAGGAAUUCAACAUAGAAUUGACUUAAUUCCGGGAGCAAGUCUUCCUAAUCUUCCACACUAUCGAAUGAGCCCAAAGGAGCAUGAUAUAUUGAAGGGGAAAGUGGAGGAAUUGCUGCAAAAGGGGCACAUUCAAGAAAGUAUUAGCCGAUGUGUUGUACCAGCCCUACUCGCGCCAAAGAAAGAUGGAUCUUGGCGCAUGUGUACGGACAGUAGAGCCUUUAACAAGAUCACCGUAAGGUAUAGAUUCCCUAUUCCCCGUCUGGAUGAUAUAUUGGAUUAG
rnacentral:rRNA from 1 species